GCGGAUGUAGCCAAGUGGAUCAAGGCAGUGGAUUGUGAAUCCACCAUGCGCGGGUUCAAUUCCC
rnacentral:tRNA from 2 species